GUGCCAGCAGCCGCGGUAAUACAGAGGCCCCAAGCGUUACUGAGAAUCACUGGGUUUAAAGGGUGCGUAGGUGGCGCGUUAAGUUCGUUGUGAAAGCCCUGGGCUCAACCCAGGAACUGCCUCGAAUACUGGCGUGCUUGAGGCUAGUAGGGGUCACUGGAACUGACGGUGGAGCGGUGAAAUGCGUAGAUAUCGUCAGGAACGCCAAUGGUGAAGACAGGUGACUGGGCUAGUUCUGACACUGAGGCACGAAAGCGUGGGGAGCGAACGGGAUUAGAUACCCUGGUAGUCC
rnacentral:rRNA from 1 species